rnacentral:rRNA from 1 species
GACGAACGCUGGCGGCGUGCUUAACACAUGCAAGUCGAACGGAAAGGCCCUGCUUUUGUGGGGUGCUCGAGUGGCGAACGGGUGAGUAACACGUGAGUAACCUGCCCUUGACUUUGGGAUAACUUCAGGAAACUGGGGCUAAUACCGGAUAGGAUCUCCUGCUGCAUGGUGGGGAUUGGAAAGUUUCGGCGGUUGGGGCUGGACUCGCGGCUUAUCAGCUUGUUGGUGGGGUAGUGGCUUACCAAGGCUUUGACGGGUAGCCGGCCUGAGAGGGUGACCGGGGACCAUGGGCCUGCGAGACGGCCCAGUCUGCUAUGGGAGGCAGCAGUGGGGAACAUGGCACAACGGGCGCAAGCCUGAGACAGAAACGCCGCGUGCGGGAUGACGUCUUUCUGGUUGUAAACCGCUUUCGCCUGAGACGAAGCGUGAGUGACGGUAAUGGGUAAAGAAGCACCGGCUAACUACGUG